ACUGGCGUAGCAUAAUGACAAAUGCACUAGUCCGGUUAAUUAGAGAUUGCUGGUUUGAUUCCAGUCGUCAGAA
rfam:Clunio marinus genome assembly, contig: CLTMA_superscaffold_57A